GGCUUAAAAGCCGGCAUUCGGCUUUGCCACCACAAUUCAUCCUGAGCCAUGAAGAUCCUUCACCUGUGCUUGGCAGUCCUCUCCUUGCUGCUCCUGGUUUCCCCAGGAUCUGCACAGGAGGAACCUUACAGUGUGAACACAUGUUAUGCUUCCGGCGGUGUUUGCAUGAAGGAAAGUUGUCCCGAUAAUAUGGAACAGAUUGGAAUGUGUGGUUAUACUGAUAAUUGGGUCUGUUGCACAAGUUCGGAGGUGUGAUAGAUGCCUUUGGAAUAUGGAAGAUGCUCCCUCUCUUUGAGAGCCGCUGGAUCCCGCUUCAUCCCCAGCUUGAGACUUCUUCUCCAAAGCAUCCAGAUUGAAAAAAAGCAACAUUUUCAAGGUUUACAUGAGCUUGUGCCUUGCAAUAAAAGCAGAUCCAAAAGCC